rnacentral:rRNA from 1 species
UACGGGGGGAGCAAGCGUUGUUCGGAUUUACUGGGCGUAAAGGGCGCGUAGGCGGCUUGCACCGUCAGAUGUGAAAUUCCUGGGCUUAACCUGGGGGCUGCAUUUGAUACGUGUGGGCUUGAGUGCGGAAGAGGGUCGUGGAAUUCCCAGUGUAGAGGUGAAAUUCGUAGAUAUUCGCAAGAACACCAGUGGCGAAGGCGGCUCACUGGCCCGGUACUGACGCUGAGGUGCGAAAGCGUGGGGAGCAAACAGG